UGCAAGUCGAACGAACCUUCGGGUUAGUGGCGGACGGGUGAGUAACGCGUGAGAAUCUGCCCUCAGGAGGGGGAUAACGGUUGGAAACGACCGCUAAUACCCCAUAUGCCGCGAGGUGAAAUGAAUUUCGCCUGAGGAUGAGCUCGCGUCUGAUUAGCUAGUUGGUGGGGUAAAGGCUUACCAAAGCAUCGAUCAGUAGCUGGUCUGAGAGGAUGAUCAGCCACACUGGGACUGAGACACGGCCCAGACUCCUACGGGAGGCAGCAGUGGGGAAUUUUCCGCAAUGGGCGAAAGCCUGACGGAGCAACGCCGCGUGAGGGAUGAAGGCCUCUGGGCUGUAAACCUCUUUUAUCAAGGAAGAAGAUCUGACGGUACUUGAUGAAUAAGCCACGGCUAAUUCCGUGCCAGCAGCCGCGGUAAUACGGGAGUGGCAAGCGUUAUCCGGAAUUAUUGGGCGUAAAGCGUCCGCAGGCGGCCCUUCAAGUCUGCUGUUAAAAAGUGGAGCUUAACUCCAUCAUGGCAGUGGAAACUGUUGGGCUUGAGUGUGGUAGGGGCAGAGGGAAUUCCCGGUGUAGCGGUGAAAUGCGUAGAUAUCGGGAAGAACACCAGUGGCGAAGGCGCUCUGCUGGGCCAUCACUGACGCUCAUGGACGAAAGCCAGGGGAGCGAAAGGGAUUAGAUACCCCUGUAGUCCUGGCCGUAAACGAUGAACACUAGGUGUCGGGGGAAUCGACCCCCUCGGUGUCGUAGCCAACGCGUUAAGUGUUCCGCCUGGGGAGUACGCACGCAAGUGUGAAACUCAAAGGAAUUGACGGGGGGCCCGCACAAGCGGUGGAGUAUGUGGUUUAAUUCGAUGCAACGCGAAGAACCUUACCAGGGUUUGACAUCCUGCGAAUCUCUUGGAAACGAGAGAGUGCCUUCGGGAACGCAGUGACAGGUGGUGCAUGGCUGUCGUCAGCUCGUGUCGUGAGAUG
rnacentral:rRNA from 1 species